rnacentral:lncRNA from 1 species
CUGUUGAACAAUCCCUAACUUAUGGAUUAAAGAGGAUUCAUCAUGUUCUGUAUACUGUAAAAACCGCGAAGGAAAGCUGAUUUUCCCAAGACUUUCUAGCAAAGGUGUUCUCUUAGACUUCAUCUAUAUGCAAAGUUUAAUUAACAAGAAAAGCAAAUUUUCCAAACACCAACAUAUGUACAAAUAUACAUCUUUUCUUAGAAAAAUGCUGUAAGUCCAAGUCAUACAAAAAGGAAAACAGAUACAUAAAAACAAAGAUAACACUGAAUCAAACAUAUCUCAGGCUGACUAUAAGGCGGCCCUUUUCAAAUCUAGUGCUUAUUAGUCUUCUGGAUUUCCCUAGUAUUUUGUGUAGCUAUGAGACCAUUCCCUAAACAAUACUUCUGCGUGUACAUUUUCUUUUUAAUC